rnacentral:sRNA from 1 species
GCUGGGCAUGGUGGUGCAUGCCUGUAAUCCCAGCUACUCGGGAAGCUGAGGCAGGAGAAUCGCUUGAACCCGGGAGGCGGAGGUUGCAGUGAGCCGAGAUUGCACCACUGCACUCCAGCCUGGGCGACAGAGCAAGAUUCUGUCUCAC